GUGUGUCUGUCUCUGAGUAUGUGUGUGUGUUUGUCUGUCUGUCAGUGUGUGUCUGUCUGUCAGUGAAUGUGUGUGUGUCUGUCAGUGAGUAUGAGUAUGAGUGUGUGUGUGUGUGUGUGUGUGUGUGUGUGCGGCUCACAUAAACGUAAAAUUAGCUGUAGGUCCUACGCUUUUUGUCCCUAGUGCAUGGGACUUCCUCAAGGACAAAUAAAUCAGCGAUAAUUACAGAACAAUAAUUGACAUGAAAAAGCAGCCUAACCACCCCACCCACCAGUCACUUUAAAUAGGGCUAGUCCCUCAGUUCAUUGGUGGUCCAGUGGGUGUCUUCCUUCUGCCGGAAUCCAAUUAAUACAGUUAAAGGUGUGAUAACCCAUUCGAACCUCCGAUAUUCAGCUGAUACUUGUUAACAGGGCAAUGGAUUGAGCGGCAAGGCAUUCCAACGGUACUUCCGCGUUCCAAUGACGACUUCCGACUUCAUCAGCUGCCAAAAUGGCUUUGCAUUCCACUUUGGAACGUAUUAGGCGAUUCUCUCCAAU